GAUGAGGAUGGUGAGGUACUGCAGAAAUAGAACUGGACAGUGGGGCAGAGGCUGCUGCUGAGGCUGAGGAUGGGUGUGCUUAGUGAUUCGUCCACCGGAGGGUAAAAGCCUGGCCAGGAAAUAGGGGAGAGAGACGCCCAUCCAAGGCACACAGGCUCCUCCCAUGUGGAUAAGACACUGAAAGCUCAGGCUGGGCUUGCUGCGGCUGUGGUUCCAGGCUGGGCACAGAGUGGGCGGGUGAUUAUUAUAAGCUGAUGGUGUCGAAGGUCUGUUGUACACUACCGCAUGGCUGGGGCUGCCCAGCAGCCUCCACACACAGCGCACCUCAGAACGGACUUGGGUUUCUCCUGUUUAGGAUCCUUGCCUAAUCACCAUUCCUUUGCACUAUUGAAAAAAGCAAGAGAAACAAGGUAAUUGGAUCGUCUCAGUCGUUUUCAGUUAUGUAAUGGACAUUUUGUCUUCCUCUGCAUAACACAAAUGGCCCUCCAUACUUCCCCUAAUAUUUACUGCAAAGCUACCUUGGUGAUACCGAUGCCGAGGUCUUGGGGAGUGACCACUCAACUCAUCUUCUAAGGAUCUCAAAGCAGAUUUACUGACACUGGCUAAUUAAGCUUCCCCAACCUGAGAUGGGAACGGGGAAAACUGCACGGCUGUUUCAGUUUUUCUGUAGGAAAAAAGGUGCCAGUCAUGCACUAGAUGAGGCAAACGCAUAGGAAUGUGAGGAGGCGGACGCACUGGGAACCUCAGGAAUGACAGGAAAGAGGUGUGGUCAUCCUGCUUCUGGUCUCUGAAUCCUGGGGGAAACAUCCUCACUUCCCCGAAGAAGGGUCCCAAGCAGCAUGGGAAGCAUCGAGAGUCUUCCCUCUGGAGCGCACGUGCAGCACCAGCUGGGAGAGCUCCCCUGGCUUAGGAGCUUCCCCAGCCUUUGCUCACCUGCGCUCAGAGCUCUCACCUGAUGCUUUCACUCAAGACGAACGUCUGCAGAAGCUGCAAGCAUCAGUUCAAACCCAGCAAUUGUCUUCGUGAUUUCUUCUAACAAUUUUUAAACUUAAAAGAAGCAGCAAAUAGAAUAUAUAAAUGACAAAUUCACAGAAGGGAAAAAUAGGCCAACAAAACACUUGAAACCAAAGCCUGCUUGAAAUUACCGGUCUUGGUCCUAAGAUUGCUGCCCGCCUGUGCCCAUUGUAUCCAUGUCCCAGGUGAGACAAAGGAACGGUCAACACAAACAUGGAAGACCACAGGAACAGGAGGAUCUUCCUUGCCUUUGACUCCCUGCCUUGGGCCCUCUUCAGAAGAUCCUCAGACCAGGACAGGAGUGUAGAGGCCAGGACCGCAACUGCAAUUUUGUCAGGAACAGCAAACCUGGAUAUCUCAUCUACUGGAAAAAACUCCCCCCAACAUCGUAUCUAAACAGCCCACUGAGUCUCCCUGGCCUACCACCUUCCUCCACUGUCUAAGGCACUUAUUUCUUCAUAAUAUGACAUCAUGUCUCAUUGGCAUUGUAUUGUCUGUCUCACACUAGGCAGUAGACCUUGUGUGGCAGGACGUCGUCUGGAGUUUCAGCCCUACAGUCUAGGUAAUGCUGCAGGUACGUAUCACCUGAGAAUCUCUGUGCUGGAUGCCGCAGGUGCUUAUUUUACUCAGGAAAAGCCCUCCGUGAAUCUGGGUGGCUCUUUAGAGUCACCGCCCUGCCGACUUUGAUGCAGCAAUCCAGGCAGACGGAUGCUCCAGCGUCUUCUCCUGCACCACCGGAAACCCACUGGCACGGCAGUAGAAGACACCAAAUGGAGAAUUCUGCUCCAGACCUUAAAUCCAUUUCCUUAGAACGGACACAGCUUACAGCUACUGAUAGUUCCUUCCCAAAACUUGUCACGUGGCCACAUCUAACAUCAGGGGUGCAUGGAUAUGAUGGUUAAUACUGAGUGUCAACUUGAUGGAAUUGAAGGAUGUGAAGUAUUGAUCCUGGGUGUGUCUGCGAGGGUUGCCAAAGGAGAUUACCAUUUGAGCCAGUGGGCUGGGAAAGGCAGACCCACCCUUAAUCUCGGUGGGCACCAUCUGAUCAGCUCCCAGUGAAUAUGAAGCAGGCAGAAAAACGUGAAAAGGUGAGACCGGCCUAACCUCCCAGGCUACAUCUUUCUCCCGUGCUGGAUACUUCCUGCCUUCAAACGUCAGACUCCAAGUUCUUCAGUUUUGGAACUCGGACUGGCUCUCCUUGCUCCUCAGCCUGCAGAUGGCCUACUGUGGGACCUUGUGAUCCUGGUAAAGGACUGAAGCUGUGGAGAGCCCACUGAGAGAUGGACAGUGAAGACAGCCUAUAGCCCUGGGAGGCCGUGGGGACUCUGUCUACUAUGGGCAGUGCUGGGAGCAGCCUAGUGGGCCUUGGGGCCUGGGAGGGGACAGUAGAGGGAGCCUCUGAGAGCUGGGAGGUGGCCCAGACCCAUAAAGUGUCACUUCAAGCCUGUUUACCCCUCAGUCUUUGAAAUAAAAGGGCAACCGUGUUGAUGCUGAAUCUGCAGUCAACCGACAGUUAAAGCUGUAGUUUAUACCCAACAGGUGUGCGGAUGAACCUGAAAGUGAGUCAUGGCUGAGUCCCUGACCCAGCUUUAACUUGUAUGUCUUGUAUUGUAGUAACUUCCCUUUAUUUUCCAUGGCCUCCUUAGUAUGGAUGUUCUAUGUUUUUUACAAUCAGCAGAUAUCCCACAUUUUUUGCCACCACGUUGAUUUUUCACGUUGAUCAUCUUCAUUAAAAAAGCACCGACACUAAAUGUUUAUUUUUCUUUUAAAAGGUGACAUUCUAACAUUUAUCAUUAUAUGAAGAGAUGUUUUUAUGUUUCCAAAAUUAUGUUUUCCGGACACAAAACAUCCUCAUGUGUAGAAUCAAUGGAAUUACUUAGCUACAGUUUUCCUAUCGUCAAUAUUUGACAUAUUUUUUGUAAAUUUGUCAGCUUAAGUUAUGUAUAUAUGCAGCGAAGCUUUCACUAUUCUGAAAUUCUAACAAUAAUAACUGUAAAAUUAUAAGAGAACCGAUAAGCACUCAAAAAUCAGUUUAUAAAAUAUUUGUGUUAAAAAAUGGAUACGUAAAAAAAGAGAUAUAAUGGUGACAUUAAUUCCAAAGCCAAACUUCUAUUACUAUUGGGAAGAAAUGUCACAUUUUGAUGUGCUUUGUCCAGUGAAACGUAGAGGUGGGGGAGGAUGUGAAAGGCAGCCCGGGGGGGUGAAGACAGGUCUGAUCCAGGAAGUGGGGUGCCCCCCUCUGUGAAGCACAGCUUGUGGGGGGCGUAAGUCAUUUGUCUCCAAGUCCCAAUUCCUGAGACCCUGGUAAGUAGGAGAGUGUGUAGGCUGGAAUCCUUUCUUUAAAAAAAAACUAUUUGGAACCACAUGAACUGAGCUACUGAUGCGAGGACACAUUCUCUAUUAAUAGCGCCUCUAUUCUAGCUCUCCAUCACAUCCUAUCUGUGACAUUUAAAGCCACUUAAGAGACACAGCAUUGGCCUUGGCUGCCUUGGACGAGUUCUUAUCAACAUGCAGAGGCUUAAGGGAGCAUCUCAGGAUAGUUCAGUGGCUGCCUCCGUCAAUACAAACACCAUAGACUAAGUCGCCCCUUCCGUCACUGACUGCAUUCUGAACCCGCUCUGGAAAUGCUUCUUCAAAGCGCAAGACAAACCUCAGCCCAUUCUCUCCUGCAUGCCAUAGUGACCUCUGUGCACCUGUGUCCAGCAUGAAACUCACAAAAGCAAAACUGUCCCCUCGAGUCCCUCGAGGUCAGGAACCGGUCUUGCUUAUCUUCGUGGUACUAGAUCUGAACGUGGCACCUGCCGCGCAGUGUAAGUGCGCAGUCUGGGAUUGUGGAACAGAAGUCAUCUAUCUUUUUACUGCCUGGCUUCUGAAGCUGCGGUCUACGGACUAGGGUGUUGGCAUCUCCAGGAAAUUUGUUAGAGAUACCGAAUCUUAAGCCCCACCCAAGCUUACAAAAGCAGAAUCUGCAUUUAACCAGAUCCCCAGGGCUUGUGUGCACACACCGAAGUUUCAGAAGAGAUGUACAGUUAACUAAAUUUUACUAGGUUAACCUAUUUUCAUGACACUGUUUGCUUCCUGCACCAAUUUUAGAUAAUGGGCUCUGAGGGAGGCAUGGAGCAAAAUGAUAAAUUCACAGAUCUCUUAUUCAUGCGUUUGAGUACACCCCAUCAUUAGCAAGGAAAUGAAAGCUCCUGAUUAAAGUGACUAUUUUUGUAACAUCACUGCACUUUUCCAUUUCAAAAUAAACCAGAAUACAACUUGUAUGUUUAUCCCAUUUUCAGCUGAAUAUUAUAUCUAGAUAAAUAACACUAAACCCCGCUGUCAUGAAGGACAGCCUGCCUAUUACUUCUGUGAGGGGAUGGAAAUACCACCGCUCCACUACUCCUGCCCCAUUAAGUCCAUGUAAAGCUUAGCUCAUACUUUCUGAUCCAUGACCUACAGAUCUCUGUAUUCAUUUAUUUCCACUCUGUAUCAUUCCAAACUGCAUUCGGGGUUGUCCCCCACCCCCCACUGCUCCCCUCUCCGACACAAACACUUAAAAUAAAAACUAAGGAUAUGUAACCUUCAGCUAAGCUUGACCAUGAAUGGUCAUCCUUAUGUGAUAUUGCUUGCUAAUAUCCUUUUGCUGCCUCUACCUUGUUUGCUGCUAAUAUUUGAGCUGGACUUAAAGCUGAACUCACAGAGACCCUGUGCCGUGUGUUUGUAAUUUCUUUCCUUAGAGCCACUCAAAGUCUGUGGCCUCACAGGUCUGGUCUGGCAUUGCAGUGUGAAAUUCUCCACGUGCCCUUGCCAUGCCUAAACGCAGCCCCUGGAGAAUGUUCCAGCCGACAUUCUCUAAGACAGCCUCUCACCUGGCCCUUCAUGUAGAGAGAAGGGGAGGUCACUCCGGGUGGAAAUAUAGACCCAAACACCCAGAUUUCUGGUUGUGGCUCAUUCUAGAACACACGCUUCCCCUGGCAUCAUGUUUCCUUCUGCUGGUAAAAGGAAUCUGCUGCCCCCAGGCAUGGAAAAGAGCAGCUACCACAUGGCUCAGAGCCACAGGGACUCAAAGGACCUACCUGGGGUAAAAUGUGGAGCUGAGAUAUAGUGACCCCAUUGUCCACAGAAGCAGCUUUAAGAAAGAACAACGCCAAUGCGCAUGAUACAGCUUCAAUAUGGAGCUCUUGGGUUUGCCUUCAUUUCACCUCCUUAGUCUGCAAACUUCGCCUCCACCUCCGUUUCUUGCAGUGUUUUGCACGGUGUCUUGAACGUAACAAAUGUGUAAUGCACGCUUUGAUAGAUUAAAAUCUUCUGAAGUAUUUUA